rnacentral:lncRNA from 13 species
UCGUGUUCUUUCCUAUGAAUAUAUUUGCAUAUUUAUUAUUUAGUACAAGUAGUUUUGUCAAAUAUGCACUCAAAAUUUAAUUACAAUUUGUGUAUAUGUCCCUUAAGUGUAUAGAAAUUACAAAUCAAUAUUUAAAAGUUUCCUUGGUCCUAUCCAGAAUGAUCUGUUGCCACAUGUGAUGCUUAAUACUGAGUGUCAACUUGAAUGGAAUGAGGGAUACAAAGUAUUAAUCCUGGGUGCGUCUGUGUGAAUAUUGCCAAAAGGGAUUAAUUACCAUUUGAGUCAGUGGGCUGGAAAGAGAUCUACUGUUAAUCUGGUGGGUACAAUCUAAUCAGCUGCCAGCAAAUAACAAGCAGGCAGGAAAGAAAAACCUGAAAAAGGAGAGACUGGCCUAACCUCCCAGCCUACAUCUUUCUCCCCUGCUGGAUGCUUCCUGCUCUCGAACAUCAGACCCCAGUUCUUUAGUGUUGGAACUUGGACAGGCUUUCCUUCCUCCUCAGCUUGCAGACAGCCUAUGUGAGACCUUGUGAUCAUGUAUUCUACUGGAACCUGUCGUUCCUGAUUCCCAAUAAAAAGCAUCUGCAGUAUGGUGUUUCCAGGGGAAGAAUGAUUGAAGCUUGUGACUGGUCUCAGAUUCUUUGUUUCUGAAGAGGAAUGAAAUUAAUAAGAUAUCCAUGUAAGAAGAGAUUGAUCAUGAGAACUGGCUCACGCAAUUAUGGAGGCUGAAGAUUCUCAUGAUCUGCAAUCUGCAAGCUGGAGAUUGAGAAAAGCCACUGGUGUAAUUCAGUCUUAGUCCAAAGACUUCAACAAGGAAAAUCAAUGAUAUGAAUCAGAGUCUGAAUGCAAAAGAAAAUGAGAUGAAGUAUCCCUGCAGUAAGUCAGUAAAAAGAAAAAGUGUUUUGGAACUGAACCUGAAAUAUCACCAAGACGGAGUUCACUGUUGCUACCCAGACUGGAGUGCAAUGGCACGAUCUCGGCUCACCGCAACCUCCGCCUCCUGGAUUCAAGCAAUUCUCCUGCCUCCGCCUCCUGGGUUCAGGCAAUUCUCCUGCCUCAGACUCCCGAGUAGCUGGGAUUACAGGCACGCACCACCAUGCCCAGCUAAUUUUUGUAUUUUUAGUAGAGACGGGGUUUCACCAUGUUGACCAGGAUGGUCUCGAUCUCUUGACCUCGUGAUCCACCUGCCUCAGCCUCCCAAAGUGCUGGGAUUAUAGGCAUGAGUCAUCGCACCCCGCCUAAUAAUUUUUUAUAUAUGACCCUAAAAGUUUGGCUACAAGGGCAAAAAAAUAGAAAAAUAAAGGAAUACAUCAAGCAAAAAAGCUUUAGUAC